rnacentral:rRNA from 1 species
UACAGAGGUCUCGAGCGUUAGGCGGAAUCACUGGGCUUAAAGCGUGUGUAGGCGGACUUCUAAGUACCUUGUGAAAUCCCACGGCUUACCCGUGGAACUGCUGGGUAUACUGGUCGUCUUGAGCCACCUAGGGGCCAGCGGAACAAAUGGUGGAGCGGUGAAAUGCGUAGAUAUCAUUUGGAACGCCAACGGUGAAAACAGCUGGCUGGGGGUGUGCUGACGCUGAGACACGAAAGCCAGGGGAGCGAACGGG